rnacentral:tRNA from 3 species
GGAGAGGUGGCCGAGUGGUCGAAGGCGCACGCCUGGAAAGUGUGUAGGCGGGAAACCGUCUCGCGGGUUCGAAUCCCGCUCUCUCCGCCA